AGCGAACGCUGGCGGCAGGCUUAACACAUGCAAGUCGAGCGGGCGUAGCAAUACGUCAGCGGCAGACGGGUGAGUAACGCGUGGGAACAUACCUUUUGGUUCGGAACAACUGAGGGAAACUUCAGCUAAUACCGGAUAAGCCCUUACGGGGAAAGAUUUAUCGCCGAAAGAUUGGCCCGCGUCUGAUUAGCUUGUUGGUGAGGUAACGGCUCACCAAGGCGACGAUCAGUAGCUGGCUGAGAGGAUGAUCAGCCACAUUGGGACUGAGACACGGCCCAAACUCCUACGGGAGGCAGCAGUGGGAAUAUUGGACAAUGGGCGCAAGCCUGAUCCAGCCAUGCCGCGUGAGUGAUGAAGG
rnacentral:rRNA from 1 species